GCCCAGAGCCUGAAUCAGUGUGUGUGUUAGUGGAAGCGUCUGGAAAGGCGCGCGAUACAGGGUGACAGCCCCGUACACAAAAAUACACAUGCUGUGAGCUCGAUGAGUAGGGCGGGACACGUGGUAUCCUGUCUGAAUAUGGGGGGACCAUCCUCCAAGGCUAAAUACUCCUGACUGACCGAUAGUGAACCAGUACCGUGAGGGAAAGGCGAAAAGAACCCCGGCGAGGGGAGUGAAAAAGAACCUGAAACCGUGUACGUACAAGCAGUGGGAGCACAGAGCAAUCUGUGUGACUGCGUACCUUUUGUAUAAUGGGUCAGCGACUUAUAUUCUGUAGCAAGGUUAACCGAAUAGGGGAGCCGAAGGGAAACCGAGUCUUAACUGGGCGUUAAGUUGCAGGGUAUAGACCCGAAACCCGGUGAUCUAGCCAUGGGCAGGUUGAAGGUUGGGUAACACUAACUGGAGGACCGAACCGACUAAUGUUGAAAAAUUAGCGGAUGACUUGUGGCUGGGGGUGAAAGGCCAAUCAAACCGGGAGAUAGCUGGUUCUCCCCGAAAGCUAUUUAGGUAGCGCCUCGUGAAUUCAUCUCCGGGGGUAGAGCACUGUUUCGGCAAGGGGGUCAUCCCGACUUACCAACCCGAUGCAAACUGCGAAUACCGGAGAAUGUUAUCACGGGAGACACACGGCGGGUGCUAACGUCCGUCGUGAAGAGGGAAACAACCCAGACCGCCAGCUAAGGUCCCAAAGUCAUGGUUAAGUGGGAAACGAUGUGGGAAGGCCCAGACAGCCAGGAUGUUGGCUUAGAAGCAGCCAUCAUUUAAAGAAAGCGUAAUAGCUCACUGGUCGAGUCGGCCUGCGCGGAAGAUGUAACGGGGCUAAACCAUGCACCGAAGCUGCGGCAGCGACGCUUAUGCGUUGUUGGGUAGGGGAGCGUUCUGUAAGCCUGCGAAGGUGUGCUGUGAGGCAUGCUGGAGGUAUCAGAAGUGCGAAUGCUGACAUAAGUAACGAUAAAGCGGGUGAAAAGCCCGCUCGCCGGAAGACCAAGGGUUCCUGUCCAACGUUAAUCGGGGCAGGGUGAGUCGACCCCUAAGGCGAGGCCGAAAGGCGUAGUCGAUGGGAAACAGGUUAAUAUUCCUGUACUUGGUGUUACUGCGAAGGGGGGACGGAGAAGGCUAUGUUGGCCGGGCGACGGUUGUCCCGGUUUAAGCGUGUAGGCUGGUUUUCCAGGCAAAUCCGGAAAAUCAAGGCUGAGGCGUGAUGACGAGGCACUACGGUGCUGAAGCAACAAAUGCCCUGCUUCCAGGAAAAGCCUCUAAGCAUCAGGUAACAUCAAAUCGUACCCCAAACCGACACAGGUGGUCAGGUAGAGAAUACCAAGGCGCUUGAGAGAACUCGGGUGAAGGAACUAGGCAAAAUGGUGCCGUAACUUCGGGAGAAGGCACGCUGAUAUGUAGGUGAAGCGACUUGCUCGUGGAGCUGAAAUCAGUCGAAGAUACCAGCUGGCUGCAACUGUUUAUUAAAAACACAGCACUGUGCAAACACGAAAGUGGACGUAUACGGUGUGACGCCUGCCCGGUGCCGGAAGGUUAAUUGAUGGGGUCAGCGCAAGCGAAGCUCUUGAUCGAAGCCCCGGUAAACGGCGGCCGUAACUAUAACGGUCCUAAGGUAGCGAAAUUCCUUGUCGGGUAAGUUCCGACCUGCACGAAUGGCGUAAUGAUGGCCAGGCUGUCUCCACCCGAGACUCAGUGAAAUUGAACUCGCUGUGAAGAUGCAGUGUACCCGCGGCAAGACGGAAAGACCCCGUGAACCUUUACUAUAGCUUGACACUGAACAUUGAGCCUUGAUGUGUAGGAUAGGUGGGAGGCUUUGAAGUGUGGACGCCAGUCUGCAUGGAGCCGACCUUGAAAUACCACCCUUUAAUGUUUGAUGUUCUAACGUGGACCCGUAAUCCGGGUUGCGGACAGUGUCUGGUGGGUAGUUUGACUGGGGCGGUCUCCUCCUAAAGAGUAACGGAGGAGCACGAAGGUUGGCUAAUCCUGGUCGGACAUCAGGAGGUUAGUGCAAUGGCAUAAGCCAGCUUGACUGCGAGCGUGACGGCGCGAGCAGGUGCGAAAGCAGGUCAUAGUGAUCCGGUGGUUCUGAAUGGAAGGGCCAUCGCUCAACGGAUAAAAGGUACUCCGGGGAUAACAGGCUGAUACCGCCCAAGAGUUCAUAUCGACGGCGGUGUUUGGCACCUCGAUGUCGGCUCAUCACAUCCUGGGGCUGAAGUAGGUCCCAAGGGUAUGGCUGUUCGCCAUUUAAAGUGGUACGCGAGCUGGGUUUAGAACGUCGUGAGACAGUUCGGUCCCUAUCUGCCGUGGGCGCUGGAGAACUGAGGGGGGCUGCUCCUAGUACGAGAGGACCGGAGUGGACGCAUCACUGGUGUUCGGGUUGUCAUGCCAAUGGCACUGCCCGGUAGCUAAAUGCGGAAGAGAUAAGUGCUGAAAGCAUCUAAGCACGAAACUUGCCCCGAGAUGAGUUCUCCCUGACUCCUUGAGAGUCCUGAAGGAACGUUGAAGACGACGACGUUGAUAGGCCGGGUGUGUAAGCGCAGCGAUGCGUUGAGCUAACCGGUACUAAUGAACCGUGAG
rnacentral:rRNA from 1 species